GAUUAACGCUGGCGGCGUGCAUAACACAUGCAAGUCGAACGAUGAAACUUAAAUGAUUUCUUCGGAAUGAACUUAAGUGGAUUAGUGGCGGACGGGUGAGUAACGCGUGAGUAACCUGCCUUACACAAGGGGAUAGCCGUUGGAAACGACGAAUAAUACCCUAUGAAACUAUCACUUCGCAUGAAGCGAUAGUCAAAGUGUUAGCGGUGUAAGAUGGACUUGCGUCUGAUUAGCUAGUUGGUGAGAAAAAAGCCCACCAAGGCAACGAUCAGUAGCCGGCUUGAGAGAGUGUACGGCCACAUUGGGACUGGGACACGGCCCAGACUCCUACGGGAGGCAGCAGUGGGGAAUUUUGCACAAUGGGGGAAACCCUGAUGCAGCGACGCCGCGUGAUUUAGAAGGCCUUCGGGUUGUAAAAAUCUUUUGUAUAGGAAGAAAAUGACAGUACUAUACGAAUAAGGUCCGGCUAAUUACGUG
rnacentral:rRNA from 1 species